AGUUCGAUCAUGGCUUAGAUUGAACGCUGGCAGGAUGCUUUACACAUGCAAGUCAGGAGCAGCAGCACGGACUUCGGUCUGGUGGCGAGUGGCGAACGGGUGAGUAAUGUAUCGGAACGUGCCUAGUAGCCGAGGAUAAUACGCGAAAGCGUAGCUAAUACCACAUACGCCUUCGGGGGAAAGCGGGGGACCUUCGGGCCUCGCACUAUUAGAGCGGCCGAUAUCGGAUUAGCUAGUUGGUGGGGUAACGGCUCACCAAGGCGACGAUCCGUAGCUGGUUUGAGAGGACGACCAGCCACACUGGGACUGAGACACGGCCCAGACUCCUACGGGAGGCAGCAGUGAAAUUUU
rnacentral:misc_RNA from 1 species